GGUGCUUGAAGGUAUGAAGGAGUUAAGAUGAGACCUAUCACAGAAGAAUAAGUUAAAGAAAAUGCAGAUCCAGGCAGGAGCAAUGACAUUCAUGAAGAAACAGAGGUUCCUAUGGUACAACUGAAAGGAGGAGAUUCAGAGUUGGAUGAAGAUCAGUGCAGACUGCUGCACGGAUGUGUCUGCACUUUUAACAAACAGGCGCACACUAAAGAUGACACUAUUCAUUGUCUGCAUGCAGUCCUGUUAUACGAAUGGCAGGAACCAUUUACCCGGGGACUAUCGUGUGGCUUCAGAUCGUGCUUUCUACAUACAGAUGCUGUAUCAUGUUAGGCGCAGUGCAGACUGUGUUGUUUUGGUCACAAAAAAGUCCCUGAAUGCACUUCAGAGAAAUAUAAUCGAUAUAUCAUCUCGCCCUACUUGUGAGACAAAAGUCUUCAUCUCCUGCGAGAUUUGAGGACGUUCGGAGUGCUGACAGACAAUCCUGCUACCG